CUACGGGGCGCUGCAGUGAGGAAUAUUGCACAAUGGGGGGAACCCUGAUGCAGCAACGCCGCGUGGAGGAUGACGCAUUUCGGUGUGUAAACUCCUUUUAUAUGUCAAGAAAAUGACGGUAGCAUAUGAAUAAGCACCGGCUAACUCCGUGCCAGCAGCCGCGGUAAUACGGAGGGUGCAAGCAGUUACUCGGAAUCACUGGGCGUAAAGGACGCGUAGGCGGGUUGGAAAGUCAGGUGUGAAAUCCUACAGCUUAACUGUAGAACUGCACUUGAAACUUCUAAUCUAGAGUAUGGGAGGGAGAGAUGGAAUUAGUGGUGUAGGGGUAAAAUCCGUAGAUAUCACUAGGAAUACCUAAAGCGAAGGCGAUCUCCUGGAACAUUACUGACGCUAAGGCGUGAAAGCGUGGGGAGCAAACAGGAUUAGAUACCCCCGUAGUC
rnacentral:rRNA from 1 species